CUUUGUGGCACCGGGAGACUGCUUCACUGGUGCCUUAUAUUGCAGGAGAAAAAGUUCAAAGAAGUUUUUGUUGGUUACAACUCACAAGGCAUCAUUCUUGCUAAUUCAUGGGAAUGACUGGUGUGCCAUAGUUUUACCAUCUGAAUCACAUCAUUUAUACGAAGUUGAUGAAAUAAUGUUUUUGGAUCAAGCUGCUACUCCCUUGCUAGGGGACUGCUUUAUUUUUAUCCAAGAUCUGUAAUGACAAUGUAAUUAUCUUUGUCAAAGAGAAG
rnacentral:misc_RNA from 1 species